UACGUAGGGGGCUAGCGUUGUCCGGAAUCAUUGGGCGUAAAGAGCGUGUAGGCGGUCCGGUAAGUCCGCUGUGAAAGUCGGGGGCUCAACCCUCGAAUGCCGGUGGAUACUGUCGGGCUAGAGUACGGAAGAGGCGAGUGGAAUUCCUGGUGUAGCGGUGAAAUGCGCAGAUAUCAGGAGGAACACCGGUGGCGAAGGCGGGACUCUGGGCCGAUACUGACGCUGAGGUGCGAAAGCGUGGGGAGCAAACAGG
rnacentral:rRNA from 1 species